GGGGGAAGGUAUAAGUUAAUCCCUCCCACUUAGUUAUUGCGAAAAGCACGCUAAUUCGGCCGCAGCGCGUAAACGAGGGGCAGCCUUAUCGAAUACUGGCGUAAGGCACGCAGCGGUCAUUAAUCAGAUUGAAAGCCCGGCUUAACUGGAAUGCAUUGAACUGGUGGCUGAGUCUUUAGAGGGGGUAGAAUUCAUUGUAGCGGGAAAAUGCGUGAGAUUGGAGGAAUACCGGUGGGAAGGCGGCCCCCGGACAAGAAUGACGCUCAGGUCGAAAGCCUGGGAGCAAACCGGAUUAGAUACCCUGGUAGUUCACCCGUAAACGAGUCGAUUUAGAGGUUGUGGUCUGAACCGUGGCUUCUGGAGCUAACGCGUUAAAUUGACCGCCUGGGGAGUACGGCCGCAAGGUUAAAACUCAAAUGAAUUGACGGGGGCCCGCACAAGCCGUGGAGCAUGUGGUUUAAUUCGAUGCAACGCGAAGAACCUUACCUACUCUUGACAUCCAGCGAAUCCUUUAGAGAUAGAGGAGUGCCUUCGGGAACGUUGAGACAGGUGCUGCAUGGCCGUCGUCAGCUCGUGUUGUGAAAUGUUGGGUUAAGUCCCGCAACGAGCGCAACCCUUAUCCUUUGUUGCCAGCACGUAAUGGUGGGAACUCAAAGGAGACUGCCGGUGAUAAACCGGAGGAAGGUGGGGAUGACGUCAAGUCAUCAUGGCCCUUACGAGUAGGGCUACACACGUGCUACAAUGGCAGAUACAAAGAGAAGCGACCUCGCGAGAGCAAGCGGAACUCAUAAAGUCUGUCGUAGUCCGGAUUGGAGUCUGCAACUCGACUCCAUGAAGUCGGAAUCGCUAGUAAUCGUAGAUCAGAAUGCUACGGUGAAUACGUUCCCGGGCCUUGUACACACCGCCCGUCACACCAUGGGAGUGGGUUGCAAAAGAAGUAGGUAGCUUAACCUUCCGGGAGGGCGAUUAUCACUUUGUG
rnacentral:rRNA from 1 species